rnacentral:lncRNA from 1 species
CAUGAUGCAAUGUACAGGCUUACGGUUGAAGAGCAUUUCCAGUAUUACUUUUCAAUAAAUAGCAGUGAGUUUAGAGCUCAUUAUACGAAGCCCGGCAUUCUUGGUCAAGUCCAAUGACAUGGCCGUCACUGAUUGUCUGAAAGCGUUUUUGUACAAACUAUAAACUAAAAUAAGUUUGUGCAUUAUUAUGGUUAUAUGGCCAUGUUUGGCCAAAAUACCUCACCAAUACUAUAUGGCUUUCCAAGUGAUAUUGUUCCCUCGUUUAACGUAAGCUGAAAUAUUUUGCACUACUUGAGCUAGUCUUUUC